rnacentral:rRNA from 1 species
AUUGAACGCUGGCGGCAGGCCUAACACAUGCAAGUCGAACGAGUGGCGGAAGGGAGAGUAAUGUCUGGGAAACUGCCUGAGGGAGGGGGAUAACUACAGGAAACGGUAGCUAAUACCGCAUACCAUCGGAUGUGCCCCGAUGGGAUUAGCUUGUUGGUGGGGUAACGGCACACCAAGGCGACGAUGCCUAGCUGGGCUGAGAGGAUGACCAGCCACAGGUGAAUGGAUACACGGUCCAGCCGACUACGGGAGGAAGCAGUGGGGAAUAUUGCUCAAUGGGCGCAAGUCUGAUGCAGCCAUGCCGCGUGUGUGAAGAAGGCCUUCGGGUUGUAAUGCACUUUCAGCGGUGAGGCGUUACCCGCAGAAGAAGCACCGGCUAACUCCGUGCCAGCAGCCGCGGUAAUUC